rnacentral:rRNA from 1 species
GAUGAACGCUGGCGGCGUGCCUAACACAUGCAAGUCGAGCGAACACACGAGGAGCUUGCUCCUCCGACGUUAUCGGCGGACGGGAGAGUACCACGUGGAUAACCUACCUAUAAGACUGGGAUAACUUCGGGAAACCGGAGCUAAUACCGGAUAAUAUAUUGAACCGCAUGGUUCAAUAGUUAAAGACGGUUUUGCUGUCACUUAUAGAUGGCUCCGGGCCGCAUUAGCUAGUUGGUAAGGUAAAGGCUUACCAAGGCAACGACGCGUAGACGACCUGAAAGGGUGAUCGGCCACACUGGAACUGAGGCACGGUCCAGACUCCUGCGAGAGGCAGCAGUAGGGAAUCUUUCGCAAUGGGCGAAAGGCUGACGGAGCAACACCGCGUGAGUGAUGAAGGUCUUCGGACCGUAAAACUCUGUUAGUAGGGAAGAACAAAAGUGUAAUUAACUAUGCACGUCAUGACGGUACCUAAUCAGAAAGCCACGGCUAACUACGUG